UAUUCAUUGAUUUUAUGUAAAUCUGAAGAAGAUUUCUAAUUUUACCCUUUGAUAUAGCUUUAUCAAUAUUAUUGUUUCUUGAUUCAAAAAGUAGAAGCAAUGGAUUCAUUACUUAUUAUUAGUUCCUGCUACGCAUGGAACUAUACCGGAGGGUGCUAUGGUAAACAACGAUUAAACCAGGUUUUAACAGCCAAUAGAAUCAUUUCUUUGUGGUGUAUUAUACUAUAAUCUUUCAUAAGAGAAACCGAUCAAAUUUUAAUUAUGGACUAUUAAAAAUUAAUUUUGUAAGUUUAUGACUGGAAGAUGUAGAGGCUUCACAUUUCACCAUGCGAGAGAACGCACGACUAUCCAAGGGCUGACAAAACAAACAGGCAUGCUGGAGCUUUCAUUUAUGGGGUUUAGCAUACCUGGAGGAGGCUACACGAAAUAAAUCUUGGUGGCCAAGUGGCAUUUUCAGUGUAGUUCACAUGUCUUGACUCUACUAUCAGCAUGGUGGCUAAGUGGCAUUUGCAGUGCAGCUCACAUGUUUUGACUCUAUUAUCACUGCUUUCCCAGUUUGUAUACAUGUGAGGGAGCUCAAGAUCGAAGCAAUACAUUUGGAAAUGAUCAUUUUGUUUCCUGCAAGCUUUGCCCAACAAAUACAGUCAUCGCCACUUUUGCUAGUGUUUGUUGCAGAAUGAGCUGAUAAAUCCUUUUUUCCUACAAUUGCUCUUGCAGCUGCAUCUUCCCCACUAGGGGUUAUUGGAGGUGCAUUAGCUGGCCAUGGUGUUGCUACCUUGGUACUUCAAUCAUUCUAAAAGGCUCAAUAGGAGGGCUUUUGGUAUCAUCGUGCAGAUCCAACAUAUGUAAUGCUUACUUAUUGGAUCCCUCAAACCUCUUGUACACUCCCACCUAAUGCUUCUCAUCAAGUGGGAGUUGGAUGUUUUGUGCUUAAUGAUCAAAAUCAGGUGCUAGUGGUGCUGGAAAAUAAUGGACCAUUUAGAGGCACGGUGUAUGGAAGAUUCCAACAGGAGUGAUUCAUCAGAUAUGUGGAGGAAUCCUGAAACCCUUUAUUCAGCGUACCAUGACAAGAAGGGAGAAACUGAGCACUUCAUCAAGCAUGGUAUGCAGAAGGCACUGUCUUGUUCGGAUAUGCACCAGAUGAGGACUCUGUAAAUCUUGGUGUUAUGAUGUGGAGAUUGACAAGCUUCUUAGAAGAGUACAAAUGUAUAUCUCAUUCGCCCGAGGUUUGAAUCUCAAUAAACAUCAGAUCCAAAUCAGUUAACAGCUUCUUCCACAAAAAAAUUCAUCGUGUAUCCUCUUCUAUAAUAAGAUUUAUCUACAUCUAUACAUGAUCAUGAAUUCUGAUGUAUAUAUACUAUUUACAUUUUGACAGACCUGGGGAGAGGGUUUUGGUAGAAUUCUCCACGAAAUAUAAUGUGGAUGAUAUAAAAAAAAAUUGCAACCAAAGCCUGCUGCCAGGUUCCUAGAUGUUGGGGAGACAGCUCAGAUUACACCUGUCAAAUAUUCCUGCCUGUCAGUCAUGCUUUGGUGCAGUGCUGGAGGGACACUGAUAAUUUGUUUGCAGGCAUCUUGGAUUGAAACUCCAAGCCAAUUGAUCUGCGACAUCCAUAUAUCUUCUUCUAUGGUCAUGUUUGUGCCUUCACAAAGAUAAAAAUGAUAGAAAACCAGGAAGAAUCAGAAUUGGAUACAAUAUUUUCAAGAGGAAUUGAUCCCAACGUCCUGGAUCCAUCGCAGUGCCACAGCCAUCCAGUUAUACCCUCAACAUGGCCCUCAAAGAAAGUUGUGAUUGACUAUAUCAGAAAAACAAGAAUAUGGAUACAGAAUGAGGCUGCAAAGGAAAAAUUGGAUACCAGGAUUUUCUCCCUGGUAAUUGAGCAUGAAAGAAUGCAUCAAGAAACCCUGACCUACAUGGUAGUGAUUGACUAUGUCAGAAAAACAGAAAAUAUGGAUACAGAAUGAGGCUGCAAAGGAAAAAUUGGAUACCAGGAUUUUCUCCCUGGUAAUUGAGCAUGAAAGAAUGCAUCAAGAAACCCUGACCUACAUGGUAGUUUUCAUCCAUGGUUUUAAAGCAAUUUUACAGUAGUUUUCAAUAGUGGAAAGUAGAAAGUGAUUACGAUUUCAUUUACCGGCUACUACGUCUAUCCAAAGAAUGAUCAGAGACUGCUCUUGUACCCUAGCCUCAUAUAUUCAAUGGAGAAGAAUGCCAGGAAACCUAAAAUUAAUGCAAAGGAUUGAAUCCUAGAGAGGUCAAUUUUUCAUGCCA